rnacentral:rRNA from 1 species
UGGGGAAUCUUCCGCAAUGGACGAAAGUCUGACGGAGCAACGCCGCGUGUAUGACGAAGGCCUUCGGGUUGUAAAGCACUUUUGUCCGGAAAGAAAUCCUUGGCUCUAAUACAGUCGGGGGAUGACGGUACCGGAAGAAUAAGCACCGGCUAACUACGUGCCAGCAGCCGCGGUAAUACGUAGGGUGCAAGCGUUAAUCGGAAUUACUGGGCGUAAAGCGUGCGCAGGCGGUUUGCUAAGACCGAUGUGAAAUCCCCGGGCUCAACCUGGGAACUGCAUUGGUGACUGGCAGGCUAGAGUAUGGCAGAGGGGGGUAGAAUUCCACGUGUAGCAGUGAAAUGCGUAGAGAUGUGGAGGAAUACCGAUGGCGAAGGCAGCCCCCUGGGCCAAUACUGACGCUCAUGCACGAAAAGCGUGGGGAGCAAAACAGGAUUAGAUACCCUGGUAGUCCACGCCCUAAACGAUGUCAACUAGUUGUUGGGGAUUCAUUUCCUUAAGUAACGUAGCUAACGCGUGAAGUUGGACCGCCUGGGGAGUACGGUCGCAAGA